CAACAACUAAUACAAUAGUGCAUAUUGAAGCAUUGGAUGGAGCAACUGAAACACCAUGGACAUAGUACUACAACAACACCGAACAACUGUUGUAACAACAUGAAACAAACUACUACAACAUGUAGAUUGAAGCAACUGAAACAACAUCUCAAAACACAAAACUGCAACAACGACUGAAAACCUACUGCAACGUUUAGAGAGAACCAUUGCAACAUUGACAAAAUAUGAAGCGGAGAGCUCGUCGAAACCCUAUCCUACGGAAACGCAUGGUGGGAGCGGCAGCGAGACGAGAGAGAAGAGCGGGGAUGUAAAGGAUGAGUGGAUAAAAAGGCGUGGAUGAGCAACAAAAUGAGUAGACAGCAACGUCCGCACGGAGGGACGUCUUACAUAUAUCAUUACCGUAAAGUAAGACAUGUGAGGUUUUUUCAAUUAAUUAUUCUAAAAUAUUUGGUACACAUCAAGACUAUCCACGCAAUCCUAAAUGAAAAGGAUUGUGAUGAAUACGCACUCCCCUAUUAGUUCAAGAUGAAAAAUCAUUCUCAACUUUGUACGCAGAUUGUGACACGAUCGGGAAAUAAUCUUUAGCUAGCUAGCUAGCACUAGGACAAAAGGUGCUUUGCCGAGUAACUACAUAAGUAUCGUCAAUAUCAUUUUUCCAAUCAUCGAAUUAUAUGAUUCGAUGCACCUGCAAUUCAAUAUUUUAUUUUAUAGAAAAAUAUGUUUAAAUAAAAUAAAUUAAAGAUAUAUAGGAAA
rnacentral:lncRNA from 1 species